rnacentral:pre_miRNA from 1 species
AGCUUUUCGAAUCCGUGCUGAGAUUUCGUCAGACAACAACGCAUUAGGGCUGAUUAGACUUACAAGAUUGGCAUUGUC